rnacentral:tRNA from 1 species
GUAAGUGAAGUUUAAGUAAAACACUGGACUGUGGCUCCGGAAGCAGGGGUUAAACCCCCCUCACCUACC